rnacentral:tRNA from 1 species
GCGUCUGUAGCUCAAAUGGAUAGAGCGUCGGACUUCGGAUCCGAGUGCUGUGGGUUCAAAUCCCGCCAGACGCG